rnacentral:rRNA from 1 species
GACGAACGCUGGCGGCGUGCUUAACACAUGCAAGUCGAACGGUGAAGCGCCUUCCUUUUUGGUUGGUGUGGAUGAGUGGCGAACGGGUGAGUAACACGUGAGUAACCUGCCCCCUUCUUCUGGAUAACCGCAUGAAAGUGUGGCUAAUACGGGAUAUUCUGUGUCUGUCGCAUGAUGGGUCUGGGAAAGAUUUUGUUUCGGUGGGGGAUGGGCUCGCGGCCUAUCAGCUUGGUGGUGGGGUGAUGGCCUACCAAGGCGGUGACGAGUAGCCGGCCUGAGAGGGUGGACGGUCACACUGGGAAUGAGACACGGAACAGACUCCGACGGGAGGCAGCAGUGGGGAAUAUUGCACAAUGGGCGGAAGGAUGAUGCAGCGACGCCGCGUGAGGGAUGGAGGCCGUCGGGUUGUGAACCUCUUUCGACAGUGAAGCAGGCCUGCCUAGUUUGUGGGUGGGUUGACGGUAGCUGGAUAAGAAGCGCCGGCUAACUACGUG